AGCUGACUGCUAUUCUGCACAGUGCCUAUGAUAAUGUCAUGGUUGAGAUGGAAGAACUGAAAGCCAAAAGGAACGGGACAUGUUCGUUAUCUCACAAAGAUGCCAACUUAGAAUCCGUUAACGAGCUUCAAAGCCCUCCAAGGAUUCGAACAAGAGGACAUCCAAAAAAUAGGCUAGGUUCAAAGUUGGACAAACAAAUUGCAAAUGCCUCAAAGAAGAAGAAAACGAAAGCUCUAAGCGAGUUAAACCUUUUUUAUGCUGCAUCAGUGGUGCAACCAAAUUCCAGCCAAUAUCACGGACAUGUUAUGAAUUAUCAGUUUAGGGAUC